ensembl:lncRNA
GUAUGUGGGUUCGUGAUGUUUGUGCGUGCAUAACUGUGGCAUUGCGACCGCAUUGUGAAGGGACGCGUGCUGAGUAUUUGCAGGUGUUACAUACAUUUUGCAGAAUACACUCUUAUCUGUAGAGUUCGGACAUCCACAUUUGAACAGUGGCGGCAAGAUACGUGCACACAUGUGGAGUUUGUGCCAGUAAUACCAUCAUGCAUUUGUUUUUAGCUUUUGCUUUUGAAUGUAUUUUUAAUGUGUAUGAGCUGGCUGCAGUGUUGUCAGCAGUGUUUGAAAUAACAGAACGAGACUGAUGAUCAUUUGAUUGGAAGAGCUGAGGUUUAAGCAAAGACAUGAAUUAAACAGCAGAACUGGCAUUCAAUUCUAGAAGCUGGUAAAAAGUGUUUCUGUUUGCAGAGUAGAUGUCCGGAGUGCUGUGGAUUGGCUUGGAACAGUUGGGUCAGGAUCCGAAUGACAGGGAAGAUCCACCACACGUGCCAGGACAGUGAGAGCUCAAAGAAUCAGGCCAUGAUUAUCAGAGCUGAGUGAAAGUCAAGAGAGGAAGAGCCUCAAGGAUCGUUCAAAGAUUAUCAGAUCAAGAUCAUCACAUUGUACCAAACAGGCUCUCAGUCCCCUGUGUGGGUACACACACCACGCAUGUAUGGAUUUUAUUUUAUCCCGGGCUGCCACAUGCAUUUGCCAGCCUGGGAGAUGCCUCUCAGAGCACUCCUGAUCACCCCGUGAGCCUGAGCUGGUGCGGAGGAGGGAAGCGGGGAUUUAUGCAGCGUAUAUGGGAAACCCCCACAGGGCCCCUUUGCAGAACUCUGGCUUCCAGGCCGGCUGCCAAGCAUUAACUACAAUACUUGCGCUUGUUUUUGACAACAGCACGCAGGUUGUAUUUCACCCAUUGCUAUUUUGGUUUUGGAGUUAUGGCAGAAAUGUCUCUGGGUGCUGGCCUGGUAUAAGCGGAGUGGGAGAUUUACUCUUAUUGUGUAAUGUCACCUUUCAGUCGGUGCUUGCAGUGAAAAUUAUGGAGUGUCACUUGUUCUUUUUAUUAAAUUUCAAGGCUGUGCACCUCUCGUGUGGGAAGUGUAACUCUGUCCCGCUUCUGCUUCGAGUGGUAGCCUCAGCUGUUGGGCACCUUUUAAAACAUGAAUUCAUCUUUUUUUUUUUUUUUUCUUUUUCCUUUCUCUGCUUUUUAUCAAAAUGUUGAGACCAGCAGCAGCCGUUGCCAUGCUCCGAACUGCUGCCUGUGAUGAUGGAUGAGUUUGGCCCCAAAAGCACGGAGAGAUACUGGACUCAGCACAACACAGAUGUUGCAAUGCAGCCAAAUUAAGCUGUUGUGGGAAUGUGCAAGUUGGGCCUUAGUCAGAGUAUCUCAUGCCUGCCUGCCUCGCUGAAAAGCAAGAGCGAAAUAUUAGCAGCUGACCUGGUGGGAUAUACACUUGCCCAAAAUAUUCUGCUCCUGGCUGCAGAUGAACCAGCAUCUGAUCUGCUGUGUGACUUUCCCCAGCAUUUCUGGAGCAAAGGAGUUCUCCUAAAGGAAUCCUGAUGUCUGCAGCCUUCCUAUCACAGAUCUCCAUAAAUCACAGCACAGGAGAUAGUCUAGAGAUGCUAGCUCAUGCUUCUUCCAUAGACCCAGGCUAGUAUGCUACAGGAAACAAACCUCAUCAUUGUACACUGUGGGGAAUGGUUUUGGUAGCUUCUGAGAUAAAGAUAAUUACUAAUAAUUAAUUAAUAGGUGUAGGAUGUAGUAGUGUUUAUGACACAAAUUGCACAUCUAUACAACCAGAAAAGUCAAGUGGUUAAUGCUGUACUUCAAGCAGAACAUGGAAACAUUUAGAGACUUUUCCUCCCAACUCACCCCUCCAAAAAAAGAUAUCUGGGUGAGAGUUCUUGUACAUUUUUCAUCCUAGUAAAGAGGAAAAAUGGGAAAAUGGAAAAGAGUGAAAUCUGUAGACAGAGAAAACAGCAUCAGGAAAAAAAAAAGAAAUAGUUCUCAGUAGUGGUAAAUGUGAAAUGCAGUGAAGGAGGCAAAAAUGUAAGGGGCAAAGGUAUGAAUAUUCUUUUGUUUAUCAGGCUUUUUAUAAUCGUGAGAUGGUAAUCAACGCAUUCUUGAUUUUAAUGUGAGGAGGUAGCCCAGGAUUAGGAAGAUAAAAGGGACAAAUAUGUCUUGCAGUAUUCCUUAAAAACCAUUUUAUUUUUCCCCAUAACUAAUGAUGAAGGGGAGGAGGGACCAUAUUCUGCCAUUUCUCCUGCUGGAAAAGCCCGGUCCUGGGUUGUCAGACAGAACCUCCUGCUAGGAUAGAACUAAACUGCAGCAGGAGGACAGGAUCUCAAAAUUGCCUGAAAAGCAAUUCUUCCUGGUAACCAGCUAUGGAACAGACCGUAGACAAAUAUCAUUUCGGAAGGGUGGAAGUUAAAACUAGAUCCGAUUGCCAAACACAAAACUCUGCAAGAGACUGCGUAAAUAGAAAAAUACAAAUGAGAAUGUGCUAGCAGAUAUAUAUUCUUUCUUUCUUUCUUUCGUUAUACGACC